rnacentral:tRNA from 1 species
GGAGUUGUGGCUAAGAGGUAGAGCGCACGCCUACCAUGCGUGAAGCACUGGGUUCUAUCCUCAGCACCA